CUACGGGUCGCUGCAGUGAGGAAUAUUGCGCAAUGGGGGAAACCCUGACGCAGCGACGCCGCGUGGAUGAUGAAGGCCUUCGGGUCGUAAAAUCCUGUCAGAAGGAAAGAAAUAUAUGGUAGCUAAUAUCUGCCAUAUUUGACGGUACCUUCAAAGGAAGCACCGGGUAACUCCGUGCCAGCAGCCGCGGUAAUACGGAGGGUGCAAGCGUUGUUCGGAAUUACUGGGCGUAAAGCGCGCGUAGGCGGCUGUUUAAGUCAGAUGUGAAAGCCCAUGGCUUAACCAUGGACGUGCAUUUGAUACUGGGCAGCUUGAGUACUGGAGGGGGUGGUGGAAUUCCCGGUGUAGAGGUGAAAUUCGUAGAUAUCGGGAGGAAUACCGGUGGCGAAGGCGACCACCUGGCCAGAUACUGACGCUGAGGUGCGAAAGCGUGGGGAGCAAACAGGAUUAGAUACCCGGGUAGUC
rnacentral:rRNA from 1 species